rnacentral:rRNA from 1 species
GACGAACGCUGGCGGCGUGCUUAACACAUGCAAGUCGAGCGGUAAGGCCCUUUCGGGGGUACGACGAGCGGCGAACGGGUAGGAGUAACAACGUGGGUGGACCUCGCCCUCCAGCUCUGGGAGUAAAGACCCGGGAAACCGUAGGGUCGUAAUAACUGGAUAUGACUCCAUGACGCAUGUUGUGGGGUGGGAAAGACCUUGUGCGGC